rnacentral:rRNA from 1 species
AUUGAACGCUGGCGGCAGGCCUAACACAUGCAAGUCGAACGAGGGGAGGGCGGGUGAGUAAUGUCUGGGAAACUGCCCGAUGGAGGGGGAUAACUACUGGAAACGGUAGCUAAUACCGCAUAGCAUCAGAGGGGCCCGGAUUGGAUUAGCUAGUGGGUGGGGUAACGGCUCACCUAGGCGACGAUCCCUAGCUGGUCUGAGAGGAUGACCAGCCCCACUGGAACUGAGACACGCUCCAGCCUCCUACGGGAGGCAGCAGUGGGGAAUAUUGCACAAUGGGCGAAAGCCUGAUGCAGCCAUGCCGCUUGUAUGAAGAAGUCCUUCGGGUUUUAAAGUACUUUCAGCGAGGAGGCGGUACCCGCAGAAGAAGCACCGGCUAACUCCGUGCCAGCAGCCGCGGUAAUAC